rnacentral:piRNA from 1 species
UCAUAGCAGUGUCUGAGCUUCCACUAA